rnacentral:rRNA from 1 species
UGGGGAAUAUUGGACAAUGGGCGCAAGCCUGAUCCAGCCAUGCCGCGUGAGUGAUGAAGGCCCUAGGGUUGUAAAGCUCUUUCACCGGUGAAGAUAAUGACGGUAACCGGAGAAGAAGCUCCGGCUAACUUCGUGCCAGCAGCCGCGGUAAUACGAAGGGGGCUAGCGUUGUUCGGAUUUACUGGGCGUAAAGCGCACGUAGGCGGACUAUUAAGUCAGGGGUGAAAUCCAGGGGCUCAACCCCGGAACUGCCUUUGAUACUGGUAGUCUUGAGUUCGAGAGAGGUGAGUGGAAUUCCGAGUGUAGAGGUGAAAUUCGUAGAUAUUCGGAGGAACACCAGUGGCGAAGGCGGCUCACUGGCUCGAUACUGACGCUGAGGUGCGAAAGCGUGGGGAGCAAACAGG